rnacentral:rRNA from 1 species
CGGGGUGAGUAAUGUCUGGGAAACUGCCUGAUGGAGGGGGGUAACUACUGGAAACGGUAGCUAAUACCGCAUAACGUCGCAAGACCAAGAGGGGGACCUUAGGGCCUCUUGCCAUCGGAUGUGCCCAGAUGGGAUUAGCUAGUAGGUGGGGUAACGGCUCACCUAGGCGACGAUCCCUAGCUGGUCUGAGAGGAUGAUCAGCCACACUGGGACUGAGACACGGCCCAG